GAUGAACGCUGGCGGCGUGCCUAAUACAUGCAAGUCGAACGAAACUUCUUUAUCACCGAGUGCUUGCACUCACCGAUAAAGAGUUGAGUGGCGAACGGGUGAGUAACACGUGGGCAAACUGCCCACAAGAGGGGGAUAAACCUUGGAAACAGGUGCUAAUCCCGCAUAACCAUAGUUACCGCAUGGUAACUAUGUAAAAGGUGGCUAUACUACCGCCUUUGGAUGGGCCCGCGGCGCAUUAGCUAGUUGGUAGGGUAAAGGCUUACCAAGGCAAUGAUGCGUAGCCGAAUUGAAAGGUUGAACGGCCACAUUGGGACUGAGACACGGCCCAAACUCCUACGGGAGGCAGCAGUAGGGAAUCUUCCACAAUGGGCGAAAGCCUGAUGGAGCAACGCCGCGUGAGUGAAGAAGGUCUUCGGAUCGUAAAACCCUGUUGUUAGAGAAGAAAGUGCGUGAGAGUAACUGUUCACGUUUCGACGGUAUCUAACCAGAAAGCCACGGCUAACUACGUG
rnacentral:rRNA from 1 species